rnacentral:rRNA from 1 species
UACGUAGGGUGCAAGCGUUGUCCGGAAUUAUUGGGCGUAAAGAGCUCGUAGGCGGUUUGUCGCGUCUGCUGUGAAAUCUGGGGGCUCAACCCCCAGCCCGCAGUGGGUACGGGCAGACUAGAGUGCGGUAGGGGAGAUUGGAAUUCCUGGUGUAGCGGUGGAAUGCGCAGAUAUCAGGAGGAACACCAAUGGCGAAGGCAGAUCUCUGGGCCGUAACUGACGCUGAGGAGCGAAAGCAUGGGGAGCGAACAGG